GAUGAACGCUGGCGGCGUGCCUAAUACAUGCAAGUCGAGCGAACGGACGAGAAGCUUGCUUCUCUGAUGUUAGCGGCGGACGGGUGAGUAACACGUGGAUAACCUACCUAUAAGACUGGGAUAACUUCGGGAAACCGGAGCUAAUACCGGAUAAUAUUUUGAACCGCAUGGUUCAAAAGUGAAAGACGGUCUUGCUGUCACUUAUAGAUGGAUCCGCGCUGCAUUAGCUAGUUGGUAAGGUAACGGCUUACCAAGGCAACGAUGCAUAGCCGACCUGAGAGCGUGAACGACCACAGUGGAACUGAGACACGGCCCAAACACCAACGGGAGUCAGCAGUGGGGAAUCUUCGGAGAUGGGCGAAAGCCUGACGGAGCAAUGCAGCAUGAAUGAAGAAGGCCUUAGGUUAGUAUAACUCUGUCCGUAUCGAAGAAAGAGGGUGGUAGUAAGUGACAAUACUAGGACGGUAGAUAAAUAGGAGGCCACGGCUAACUAGGUG
rnacentral:rRNA from 1 species